rnacentral:rRNA from 1 species
UGAACGCUGGCGGCAGGCCUAACACAUGCAAGUCGAACGGUAGCACAGAGAGCUUGCUCUCGGGUGACGAGUGGCGGACGGGUGAGUAAUGUCUGGGAAACUGCCUGAUGGAGGGGGGAUAACUACUGGAAACGGUAGCUAAUACCGCAUAACGUCGCAAGACCAAAGAGGGGGACCUUCGGGCCUCUUGCCAUCAGAUGUGCCCAGAUGGGAUUAGCUAGUAGGUGGGGUAACGGCUCACCUAGGCGACGAUCCCUAGCUGGUCUGAGAGGAUGACCAGCCACACUGGAACUGAGACACGGUCCAGACUCCUACGGGAGGCAGCAGUGGGGAAUAUUGCACAAUGGGCGCAAGCCUGAUGCAGCCAUGCCGCGUGUAUGAAGAAGGCCUUCGGGUUGUAAAGUACUUUCAGCGGGGAGGAAGGUGUUGUGGUUAAUAACCACAGCAAUUGACGUUACCCGCAGAAGAAGCACCGGCUAACUCCGUGCCAGCCGCCGC